UGGUAGAUGCACCCUGGUUAAUGCCCUGGCUAUCGAGUCUAGGGCUUUUUCUA
rfam:Planktothrix tepida PCC 9214 isolate BBR_PRJEB10993 genome assembly, scaffold: BBR_B_PL9214_scaffold11